GGCAGUGUGGCCGAGUGGUUUAGGGCGCUGGAUUUGAAAUCUGGAGGUCCCUUGUUCAAAUCCUCCAUCCUGCCACUAGCUG